UCUAGCUAACCCGACACGUAUUAGAAGCACUGCCUGCCCAGUGACAUUGAUUUAACGGCCACGGUAUUUUGACCGUGCAAAGGUAGCAUAAUCACUUGUUUUUUAAAUAAAGACUUGUAUGAAUGGCAAAACGAAAGCUUAACUGUCUCCACUGUCCAGCCAGUGAAACUGAUCUUCCUGUUCAAAAGCAGGAAUAAAAAUGUAAGACGAAAAGACCCUAUGGAACUUUAGACACAAAUCAGCUAUGCCAACAGACCGCAUAUGCCAUGAUCCACAUCUUUAGUUGGGGCGACUGCGGAGAACAAAAAUCCUCCGUGAUAUCUACUAAAUUACACAAAACUAAGUACCAAGACACUUGAAACAGCUGAUCCAAUAAAAUUGAUCAACGAACUAAGCUACCCUAGGGAUAACAGCGCAAUCUUCUUACAGAGGCCAUAUCGACAAGAAGGUUUACGACCUCGAUGUUGGAUCAGGAUAUCCAGACAGUGUAGCCGCUGUCACAGGUUUGUUUGUUCAACAAUUAAAAUCCUACGUGAUCU
rnacentral:rRNA from 1 species